rnacentral:rRNA from 1 species
AUUGAACGCUGGCGGCAGGCCUAACACAUGCAAGUCGGGCGGAUGAAGGGAGCUUGCUCCUGGAUCCAGCGGCGGACGGGUGAGUAAUGCCUAGGAAUCUGCCUGGUAGUGGGGAAUAACGUCCGGAAACGGGCGCUAAUACCGCAUACGUCCUGAGGGAGAAAGUGGGGGAUCUUCGGACCUCACGCUAUCAGAUGAGCCUAGGUCGGAUUAGCUAGUUGGUGGGGUAAAGGCCUACCAAGGCGACGAUCCGUAACUGGUCUGAGAGGAUGAUCAGUCACACUGGAACUGAGACACGGUCCAGACUCCUACGGGAGGCAGCAGUGGGGAAUAUUGGACAAUGGGCGAAAGCCUGAUCCAGCCAUGCCGCGUGUGUGAAGAAGGUCUUCGGAUUGUAAAGCACUUUAAGUUGGGAGGAAGGGCAGUAAGUUAAUACCUUGCUGUUUUGACGUUACCAACAGAAUAAGCACCGGCUAACUUCGUG